GAUGAACGCUAGCGACAGGCUUAACACAUGCAAGUCGAGGGGCAGCAAGAAGUGUAGCAAUACAAUUUGUUGGCGACCGGCGCACGGGUGAGUAACGCGUAUGCAACCUACCUAUCAGAGGGGGAUAGCCCGGUGAAAGCCGGAUUAAUACCGCAUAAAACAGGGGUCACGCAUGGGAAUAUUUGUUAAAGAUUAAUUGCUGAUAGAUGGGCAUGCGUUCCAUUAGAUUGUAGGCGGGGUAACGGCCCACCUAGUCAUCGAUGGAUAGGGGUUCUGAGAGGAAGGUCCCCCACACUGGAACUGAGACACGGUCCAGACUCCUACGGGAGGCAGCAGUGAGGAAUAUUGGUCAAUGGGCGCAAGCCUGAACCAGCCAAGUAGCGUGAAGGAUGACUGCCCUAUGGGUUGUAAACUUCUUUUAUAGGGGAAUAAUUCCAUCCACGUGUGGAUGUUUGGAUGUACCCUGUGAAUAAGCAUCGGCUAACUCCGUGCCAGCAGCCGCCGUAACAC
rnacentral:rRNA from 1 species